UGAGAGGUCCACCUCUGUCUCUUUCAUUUUAUUCUUUUUCUCUUACUUUAUGACUCAGAACAAGCCCGGCAGCACGGCUUGCACAGGGAGAUCACAAAUAUAGUCUCUCCUUUGAAAAAGACCACGGUCUUGCUCCUCCUCCCACCCAGCGGAAACUGGAGCACAGCUCGAGGAGACCUGCUGUCACAGGAUCCUGCUUCUGGGCACAAAAGCCGGGAAAUUUCAGAGCCAAUCUGGGCCAGGGGAGGCCGGGGCUCGGGAGUGGGGCUGAAAUGAUUCUUCCAGACUGCAGAGAAGAGAGCGGCCUGCCUGCCGGCCAGCCUGCCCAGCAGCAAACAGGAAAUCCCAGAAUUUAUAGAUGACCCCGUUACAAG
rnacentral:lncRNA from 1 species